CCUACGGGAGGCAGCAGUGGGGGAUAUUGCACAAUGGGGGAAACCCUGAUGCAGCGACGCCGCGUGGGUGAAGAAGCGCCUCGGCGCGUAAAGCCCUGUCAGCAGGGAAGAAAAUGACGGUACCUGAAGAAGAAGCCCCGGCUAACUACGUGCCAGCGGCCGCGGAAAUACGUAGGGGGCAAGCGUUAUCCGGAUUUACUGGGGGUACAGGGGGCGCAGACGGCGCUGCAAGCCAGGAGUGAAAGCCCGGCGCCUCACCCCGGGACUGCUCUUGGAACUGCGUGGCUAGAGUGCAGGAGGGGCAGGCGGAAUUCCUGGUGUAGCGGUGAAAUGCGUAGAGAUCAGGAGGAACACCGGUGGCGAAGGCGGCCUGCUGGACUGCAACUGACGUUGAGGCCCGAAAGCGUGGGGAGCAAACAGGAUUAGAUACCCUUGUAGUC
rnacentral:rRNA from 1 species